AUUGAACGCUGGCGGCAUGCCUUACACAUGCAAGUCGAACGGCAGCGGGGGAGAAGCUUGCUUUUCCUGCCGGCGAGUGGCGAACGGGUGAGUAAUACAUCGGAACGUGCCCUGUAGUGGGGGAUAACUAGUCGAAAGAUUAGCUAAUACCGCAUACGACCUGAGGGUGAAAGGGGGGGACCGCAAGGCCUCAUGCUAUAGGAGCGGCCGAUGUCUGAUUAGCUAGUUGGUGGGGUAAAGGCCUACCAAGGCGACGAUCAGUAGCUGGUCUGAGAGGACGAUCAGCCACACUGGGACUGAGACACGGCCCAGACUCCUACGGGAGGCAGCAGGGGGGAAUUUUGGACAAUGGGCGAAAGCCUGAUCCAGCAAUGCCGCGUGUGUGAAGAAGGCCUUCGGGUUGUAAAGCACUUUUGUCCGGAAAGAAAUGGCUCUGGUUAAUACCUGGGGUCGAUGACGGUACCGGAAGAAUAAGGACCGGCUAACUACGUGCCAGCCGCCGCAGUAA
rnacentral:rRNA from 1 species